UGAGAAAGAUCCAAGGAGAUGGGGAA
rnacentral:piRNA from 1 species